UUGUAGUAUUAUCAAUCAUUGUCAAAACUUGCACUAAAUAACAAUUCAUAAACUCGCCCAGUUAAAUAACAUAAUAUUAUAAAACAUGCAGAGCUCAAAUAUUUCUUCCGAGAACUCCAAUAAUAAUCAAAACUUAGAAAUACCAACACCCACGACCAGUUCAAUAAAUUUGAAUAUACCGCCAUUCGUGGCGCCCCGCUUGGAUGAUGUUCCUAUAUUCGGUGGAGGAGUAUCUACAUCUUCAGGACCUCGAUCUUUUCCCUUCCAGCUGAGAUCCAGCAGGACAUUCGCCACAGGCCGAGUUAAUCGACGGAGAAAGUAUAAAGUAAAACUAAACUUGAGUAGGCGAAUCCUGGUUCUCAGCAACGAAGCGCGAAGAAAUUUGCUGACGGCCAUAGCAGAUGUGUUGCAGAUCGAAAAUUCGCAAUCGGAGACUUCAAAUGGGAUCCAAGCCGAUCGAAUGUCAUACAACAUUGAACUUAGUAUGCCCAACAACGAUGAUUCAAGUCAAUAUGCGCGAGAGGAAUUUUAUACCAAUUAUCCAGAUUUAAAUAAUACGUUGGAUGGCAACAGAGAAAAUAAUAUACCUGGGAGCCUGUCGUCUUUAUUUAAUGUUUUUCAUAACCUUUUCCGUCGCAAUUCCUCAACAGAAAAUCAACGAUAAUAUUUAAAAGAAGUUAUAUUAAUGAAUGAUAAAACCGAACUGGGAUAAUAGAUAUGAAGAAUUACAUUAUUUAUAUAAUUAAAAAAAAAAAAUUAUUAUGUUAAAAGCAAGAUACAAAAUACAAUGACACAUAAGGAAGAUGGAACGACGAGAGAAAAAAAGAUAUAUAAAAAAUGAAGAAUAUGAUAAGAACCAUACAUAUAUGAAGAUGGUAUUAAAAUAAAUAUUAACAAAAUUAAAGUUUAUUCCCCAUUUUUCAAGAUUU